CCUACGGGUGGCAGCAGUGAGGAAUAUUGGUCAAUGGGCGCGAGCCUGAACCAGCCAAGUCGCGUGAGGGAUGAAGGUUCUAUGGAUCGUAAACCUCUUUUCUAAGGGAAUAAAGUGUGGGACGUGUCCUAUUUUGUAUGUACCUUAUGAAUAAGGAUCGGCUAACGCCGUGCCAGCAGCCGCGGUAAUACGGAGGAUCCGAGCGUUAUCCGGAUUUAUUGGGUUUAAAGGGUGGGUAGGCGGCCUUUUAAGUCAGCGGUGAAAGUUUGUGGCUCAACCAGAGAAUUGCCGUUGACACUGGGGGGCUUGAGUAUGUUGGAGGCAGGCGGAAUGCGUGGUGUAGCGGUGAAA
rnacentral:rRNA from 1 species